UACGAAGGGGGCUAGCGUUGCUCGGAAUCACUGGGCGUAAAGCGCACGUAGGCGGCUUUUUAAGUCAGGGGUGAAAUCCUGGAGCUCAACUCCAGAACUGCCUUUGAUACUGGGAAGCUUGAGUCCGGGAGAGGUGAGUGGAACUCCGAGUGUAGAGGUGAAAUUCGUAGAUAUUCGGAAGAACACCAGUGGCGAGGGCGGCUCACUGGCCCGGUACUGACGCUGAGGUGCGAAAGCGUGGGGAGCAAACAGG
rnacentral:rRNA from 1 species